rnacentral:rRNA from 1 species
GAUGAACGCUGGCGGCGUGCCUAAUACAUGCAAGUCGAGCGAACGGACGAGAAGCUUGCUUCUCUGAUGUUAGCGGCGGACGGGUGAGUAACACGUGGAUAACCUACCUAUAAGACUGGCAUAACGUCGGGAAACCGGAGCUAAUACCGGAUAAUAUUUUGAACCGCAUGGUUCAAAAGUGAAAGACGGUCUUGCUGUCACUUAUAGAUGGAUCCGCGCUGCAUUAGCUAGUUGGUAAGGUAACGGCUUACCAAGGCAACGAUGCAUAGCCGACCUGAGAGGGUGAUCGGCCACACUGGAACUGAGACACGGUCCAGACUCCUACGGGAGGCAGCAGUAGGGAAUCUUCCGCAAUGGGCGAAAGCCUGACGGAGCAACGCCGCGUGAGUGAUGAAGGUCUUCGGAUCGUAAAACUCUGUUAUUAGGGAAGAACAUAUGUGUAAGUAACUGUGCACAUCUUGACGGUACCUAAUCAGAAAGCCACGGCUAACUACGUG